rnacentral:rRNA from 1 species
UUUGCCUGCCCAGUGACUAUAAGUUAAACGGCCGCGGUAUUUUGACCGUGCAAAGGUAGCGCAAUCACUUGUCUUUUAAAUGAAGACCUGUAUGAAUGGUGGAACGAGGGCUUAACUGUCUCCCCCUUCUAGUCAAUGAAAUUGAUCUACCCGUGCAGAAGCGGGUAUAAUAAUACAAGACGAGAAGACCCUUUGGAGCUUAAGAUAAAAGACCAACUAUGUCAAAAGUCCUAAAAAAGACUAAACCAAAUAGUACUGGGCCUAAUCUUCGGUUGGGGUGACCACGGGAGAAAACAAAACUCCCAUGCGGAUUGGGGUAAUUCCCUAAAACUAAGAGAGACAUCUCUAAGACGCAGAACAUCUGACCAUAAAGAUCCGGCUACAUGCCGACCAACGGACCAAGUUACCCUAGGGAUAACAGCGCAAUCCCCUUCCAGAGUCCAUAUCGACAAGGGGGUUUACGACCUCGAUGUUGGAUCAGGACAUCCUAAUGGUGCAGCCG